UUUGUUUUGGUUUUUUAAGUGGUCUGUCUCCUCUCUGAAAUGUUUAUAUUUGCACUUAGUUUACUUAGAAGACAACACUGAAAGGAGUAUUUUGGAGGAAUUCCAUCUUUGUCCUGAAUUAUUAACUUGUCUGAAGAAUGGCAAAGAUAGAAAAUCUGGUGGACAGAAACAGAAAUCAAAACUAUCCAACAAAACACUGCAUCAUUUCCCUGGAAGGAACGUUGUUGAGUUUACUGUAAAUCUGAUGAUGAUUCCUGUUAUCACAGUCAAAGGUCAACCCAUUCUUGGUGAUACUCUGAGAUAACAUCUGUUGAUUUAUCUCCUAUAACAAAAACACAGUGUGAAGACACUGAGGAGAAUGGUUUGCAAAAAAUCUUACAACCAGAAAAGGCAGUUUUUGGUGACAUUUGAAUCUUUCUUGUGAUACAACUGGAUCCAGAUUCCACCACAGAAAUCUUAAAAUGCAAAAGAAAAACAAGGGACAAGCUGAGCUAAUGACAGAUCUGAAGAAGUGUCAACACCGCAGCCGAACAAGCUCGAGGUGGCAGGAAUGCUGUUCACAGGGGACGUGGGAGUCACAGCAAAUACUCUUUUCAAGGCUGGUUGCUCCUGAUUAAACAGUGUUUUCAGCAGGAAAAGCCAAAAACUUGCCCAGAGGCAGUGGAGUGCUCCAGAUGAGUCCCAUGCCUACUCCAGCAACAGCGGGUGAGCUAUAUCCAGCCUCAGAGUCAAAACAGGGAUAAAUGGAAAACACAUUGGAAAGAGGGUUAUGUCCAUAUGGAGGAGGAUUGACAUCCAUUUCCAAACUGGGAAGAACGUGCUAUACCAGCCAGUUUUGCCCUUGGUUAUCCACCUGAGAUGCCUGUGCAGAUUCAACAGGAUGUUGACCUGGAUCUCUCAGAACAGCUCAUGGAGAGGAAAGACCCUCUGACACAAAACAACGUCACUGGAGAGAGAGCUGUAAUGUCAGGGAGGGCAUCUGGAAGAUCAAAGUGGGAAUAAACCAAUCACUCCAAGCUGUAUGGCUUUGCAUGGCUGGGUUUUAUUUCCAUUCUUUUGAAGCACAUCUCAUGAGUCUUAACAAGGAAAGAACUUUUGUGUAAAUCAAAAAAAGGUUGUUUGUGUAAAAUUCAGUAAAUUAAAAAAAACCCCAGCCCAAACGCCACAGGCCUGCGGGGAAGAACUGGAAUUGAAUUUCUGUAAUAUGGACCUUUCCCAGAAAAGC
rnacentral:lncRNA from 1 species